rnacentral:rRNA from 1 species
UUGAACGCUGGCGGAAUGCUUUACACAUGCAAGUCGAGCGCCCCGCAAGGGGAGCGGCAGACGGGAGAGUAACACGUGGGAACAUGCCCUUCAGUUCGGAACAACCAAGGGAAACUUUGGCUAAUACCGGAUACGCCCGUAAGGGGAAAGAUUUAUCGCUGAAGGAUUGGCCCGCGUCUGAUUAGCUAGUUGGUGGGGUAAUGGCCCACCAAGGCGACGAUCAGUAGCUGGUCUGAGGGGAUGAUCAGCCUCACUGGGACUGAGACACGGCCCAGACUCCUACGGGAGGCAGCAGUGGGGAAUAUUGGACAAUGGGCGAAAGCCUGAUCCAGCCAUGCCGCGUGAGUGAUGAAGGCCUUAGGGUUGUAAAGCUCUUUCGUCAGGGAAGAUAAUGACGGUACCUGAAGAAGAAGCCCCGGCUAACUUCGU